UUUGUUUCACUGAAACUCUGAAUUUAUAACCUGGUUUUUGUGGACCUGUGGGCUCAAAUGAGAGAGGCCCAAGUCCAAUUUUUUUUUUGUUAUAUUUUAUUUAUUUAUUUAUUUAUUUUUGUUUUUUUGUUUUUUUUUGUUUUUUUUGUUUUUUUUUGUUUUUGUUUUCGUUUUUUUUUGUUUUUUUUAGUAAACAAAAGUAAGAGAAACAAUGAUGUAUAAUUCAAACAUGCUUGGUGAUCUCAAACCAAUCACAAGGAGUCCCAUCCAAAGGCAAAGGGAACCAAGAUGCUCAUGAUCCUUGAGGCUAUGCAAAUGCAAUGUUAUGAUGCCAUGAGGGAUCUUAGG
rnacentral:lncRNA from 1 species